rfam:Bacillus galactosidilyticus strain PL133 scaffold000002, whole genome shotgun sequence.
CAAACCGAUCAGUGAUGGCAGGUUGAACUGUAAGAAGUCAGCAGAAGCCAUAGUAGUCCAUAAUGGAUGAAGGGG